AUCUCUGUAGAGUCUGCAUAUCAAUAAGCGGAGGAAAAGAAACUAACAAGGAUUCCCUUAGUAACGGCGAGUGAGGCGGGAAGAGCUCAAAUUUGAAAUCUUCAAGGUUCUACCUUGACGAAUUGUAGUUUAAAGAAGUGUUUUCUGUUAGAUGAGUAGCAAAAGUUCCUUGGAAUGGGACAUCAUAGAGGGUGAGAAUCCCGUAUUUGACUAUUCAUUUCUAGCUUUGUGAUACACUUUCAAAGAGUCGGAUUGUUUGGGAAUGCAGUCCAAAAUGGGUGGUAAAUUUCAUCUAAAGCUAAAUAUUGGCGAGAGACCGAUAGCGAACAAGUACCGUGAGGGAAAGAUGAAAAGAACUUUGAAAAGAGAGUUAAACAGUACGUGAAAUUGUCAAAAGGGAAGCGUUUGACACCAGUGUUGUUUUUCCGAAAAUCAAUUACGAAUGGCUUGAUUUUGUGUUGUAUUGACCUUAUCAGCUUUCUUCACUUUUUUCGAGUCUUUCUUAAUGCACUUUUUGGUUAACAAGUCAACAUCAAUUUCUUUUGUUGUAAAAGAGUAUUCGGAAGGUGGCUUUCUUUUCGGAGAAAGUGUUUAUAGCCCUAUACUUCUACAAUCGGAGAGAUUGAGGUCUGCAGCGUAGAUCCUUCGGGGUUAGAUACAUUUGUGCUAAGUUGUAGCUUUUCAUAGACAACUUGUUGACUAUGUUUAGUCAUGCGGCUUACUCGCUUAUGCUAUUUUACCUACGCUUAGGAUGUUGACUGAUAUGUAGUCGUA
rnacentral:rRNA from 1 species